AACGAACGCUGGCGGCAGGCCUAACACAUGCAAGUCGAGCGCGCACUUCGGGGUGAGCGGCGGACGGGUGAGUACCGAGUGGGAACGUGCACUUUUCUACGGAAUAGUCUAGGGAAACUGAGCGUAAUACAGUAUACGCUCUUAGGGGGUAAGAUCUCUCGGAAAAGGAUCGGCGCGCGUUGGUUUCGGUAGUUGGUGGUGUACUGGCCUACCAAGCCGUCGAUGCAUAGCUGGUUGGUGAGGAUGAUCAGCAAGGCUUGGACUGAGACACGGCCCAGCCUCCGACGGGAGGCAGCAGUGGAUAGUCUUAGGCGAUGGGGGCAACCCUAGUCUAGCCGUGUCGCGUGAGUGGUGAAGGCCUUAGGAUUGUAAAGCUCUUUCAGCUGAGAAGAUAAUGACGGUACCGGCAGAAGAAGCCCCGGCUAACUCCGUG
rnacentral:rRNA from 1 species